rnacentral:rRNA from 1 species
GACGAACGCUGGCGGCGUGCUUAACACAUGCCAGUCGAACGGACAGGCCCUGCUUUUGUGGGGUGCUCGAGUGGCGCACGGGUGAGUGACACGUGAGUAACCUGCCCUUGACUUUGGGAUAACUUCAGGAAACUGGGGCUAAUACCGGAUAGGAGCUCCUGCUGCAUGGUGUUCGUUGGAAAGUUUCGGCGGUUGGGGAUGGACUCGCGGCUUAUGCGCUGGUUGGGGGGGUAGUUGCAUACCAAGGCUUUGACGGAUAGCCGGCAUGGGAGGGUGAACGGGGACAUGGGGCCUGCGAUACGGCCCAGAAGCCGACGGGAGGCAGUAGGGGGGAAUAUGGCACAGUGGGGGGACGCGUGAUGUAGAAACGCUGCGUUCGGAAUGACGGGCUACGGGGUGUAAACCGAUGUGGCAGUUGACGAAGCGUGAUUGACGGUAAUGGGUAAAGAAGCACCGGCUAACUACGUG